UGGGGAAUAUUGGACAAUGGGCAAAAGCCUGAUCCAGCCAUGCCGCAUGAGUGAAGAAGGCCUUUGGGUUGUAAAGCUCUUUUAGUGAGGAAGAUAAUGACGGUACUCACAGAAGAAGUCCUGGCUAACUCCGUGCCAGCAGCCGCGGUAAUACGGAGAGGGCUAGCGUUAUUCGGAAUUAUUGGGCGUAAAGGGCGCGUAGGCUGGUUAGUAAGUUAAAAGUGAAAUCCCGAGGCUUAACCUUGGAACUGCUUUUAAAACUGCUAACCUAGAGAUUGAAAGAGGAUAGAGGAAUUCCUAGUGUAGAGGUGAAAUUCGUAAAUAUUAGGAGGAACACCAGUGGCGAAGGCGUCUAUCUGGUUCAAAUCUGACGCUGAGGCGCGAAGGCGUGGGGAGCAAACA
rnacentral:rRNA from 1 species